UGAAAGAAGAAAGAGUCAACAUUAUAAGACAUGGUAAGUAGAGAGAUAUUUUGUUGGAAAAUAUCUAUAGUAAAUUCUUUCUCACCACGUCAUAAGAGUGAGUAAGAUAUUUUAAUUUUAAUUUUAAUUUUUUUUUUAUAAAAAGAACAAGAUAUUUUAAUUUUGGUUUUUUUUAUUAUAAAAAAGACGAAGAUAUUUUUGUGAGACUUCGCGGGAAG
rnacentral:lncRNA from 1 species